GUACAGUUGAGAGAAGUGUGGAGUCUUUCUGUGAGGUGAUCCUGAAGGAGGCCUGAGGCCUAGUCCAGCAACCAUGCAUUAUCUACUACCAGCUAACCCCUGCACCUGGGUGAAAGUCAAAGCCUGGCGGCUUAAGGGUUCCUGCUGCAACAGGUUCAUCUUUUAGAUGCACGGCUGCUUCUGCAGCUGCCUCUGUGGAGGUAGACGAUGGACACAGCUCCUCGAUUUCAUCCAAUGCGGAGGAGAAACUGUCUUUUACUGGCUGGACAAGAGCAGGUGGCGGUGGUGAUGGACCAGGCUUUCAAACCUUCUUCUGGACAGUCAUAGAAAUCAGAAUAAUAUUCUAUUCUGGGGUGUCCGCCAUCUCCCUGAAACUCUGAGCCUGCGAGUGCAGAUAGCAGGGAGAGAACAUCGUGUACUUACUGGAAGGAGAAGUAACAAGCCCUCCUCCUUGUGCAGGCUGCUCCUUAUAGCUAGAGCUGCUACAAUAGUGGAAUGUGAACGUGGAAUGCCGAGGCUCCAACAAUGGCCACCUAAAACACUACACAACUUCACCAUUUCAUUACUGGAAGAGGCUCGGUUGUACAUCGCCAUAAUA